rnacentral:rRNA from 1 species
UACGUAGGGCGCAAGCGUUGUCCGGAAUUAUUGGGCGUAAAGAGCUCGUAGGCGGCCAGUUGCGUCUGCUGUGAAAUCCCGGGGCUCAACCCCGGGCGUGCAGUGGAUACGGGCUGGCUAGAGUGUGGUAGGGGAGACUGGAAUUCCUGGUGUAGCGGUGAAAUGCGCAGAUAUCAGGAGGAACACCGAUGGCGAAGGCAGGUCUCUGGGCCACUACUGACGCUGAGAAGCGAAAGCAUGGGGAGCGAACAGG